GACGCUGUUGAGCUUCUCUUUAAUGGCGGCGUCUCUUUCAUCCAUGAAUUUGCCGAGUGGGGAGAAGUAGAUUUUGUCGAGACCGACCAUGAGGAGGAGGAAUUGAGCCAUCAUGAUUGGGAGAGUGAGGUUGAAGUCGAAGAGAGCGGCCUUCUCGAUCUCUUCGGCGAGGGAAGGGGGAGCGAAGGAUAGAGAUGUGGCGGCGAAGAGGGAGAGAGAUUUGAGAGUGGAGGUGGAGAGGGAGAUUGAUUGGUGCUUUUUGAGGAAUGAUCGGAUUAGGGUUAUGGUUUUGGGGAUGGAGAAUUUGGGGGUUUUGUUGGAGAUGGAAAGAGGAGGGGAGAGGGGUUUGGAAGAGGCCAUGAUUACGUUCGCCAUGGCUGCGUGGAGAUGAAGGUUUCGGAGGUUCGAG
rnacentral:misc_RNA from 1 species